AGGCCGUAUUUUGAAUAUAAUUUAGCUAGAUAAGCUGCCAAGAUCCAUUCUGAAUGGAAAUACGUGAAGUUUUUGUUGCGCCAGUAGUCUUUCUUUGGUAUGGAUUAUCUCGAUGACGGUCCGACUUUUGUAUUAACUGUGGCGGCAGAAUGAAGCAGACAGCCUAACCUUGGAAUUCUUCUCCAGAACACUGAGCAGGAGGAGGACCACAUUCUGGUCUUGGACGCUCAGCAUCCUCCCCCACAAAAGGUUCUUUGUCAUUGUUUACAUUUUCGAGGCCUCUCCGGGGCUGUCUGGCUGUGCCCCGAACUUGCUGCAGAUCCCAGAUGCAAUCACACAACCAGCUGCCUGUCCAUCCUCUCCUGCAUUUGGACAGGGAAAGCGCUUCACCUUUCAGAAUCCAAUAUUCAUUCCCAGCAUUCCUACUUAAAAACCCUGACCACAGCCAAUUGCUGGUCCUCCCCCUUUGAAAGAAACCUCAGCUGUACCUGCUCUUUCGUCUCUUGUGUGGAAAAACGUCUAUCGGCUGGAAGCCCUAGGAGUCUUAAUUUUCAAGGAUUUUCGUUGUAAGCUGUUCAAGGCAUGAGCUAAGUUUUCAGGCAAAGGAAGGAGAUCAACUAAGGAAGGUCAGACAGCUCGCAAGAGUUCCUCCAUCACCUGCAGGGCUAGGGCUAGUUCCUGAACACGCCAUGAGUGAACUAAUCCCACUCUUAGAAAACAGAUAAGCAUUUGCUCAUUUGAGGUCGUAUAAUCACUAGGAAAUGGUUUGUCAGUAUUUAAAUAAUUUUGCUUUUAAUAUAUAGAAUAAGCAAUCAAGAUUCCAAAGAGGACUUAAUCCAGUUUCUUCACCUUAAAAAUGUUUUAAUCAUCGUGGAGGAAGAAUCAUUGAAUAGUCACAAAUUUGGCUGUUUUAUUCGGGGCUCUUUAGAAAGCAGUCUGAGGCAAAGAUUUAAAGGCCAACAACUGAUUUGGGGAGUGCUCACUAAGGACCCUGGAGUCGAGGGGGAGGGACAGCAGAGAUGAGGAAAGCUGGGAAGCAAUGCGACUUGAUGGGUUACUUCAAUGGCCAUUGCUUUGUCAUAAGGUGCAAAGAUGCACAGCAGAUAACUCAAGAGAAUGUGUUCACUCUCUUCACAGGGAAGAAAUCCGUGGUAGGUUUGCAAGGAGAACCACGUCUCGGAGCAGCCCAGGGAGAGGACAGCAAAGACAGGAAUCACGUGUGGAGUUUCCUCUGGUCUCAUUCCCCCCGGUCAGUGUUCCACUGCUGAGAACUGCAUUUUUGUCUGAAGUCCCAUCUGCCUCCUUGCAUCCUCUCAGGGAGCCAGACCCUCUGCCAUAACCCACCCAGGAAGGAGAGGGGCAGCUUGGCACUUGUGACUAAGAAAGAGUGAAGGAGGCAGAGGAGGAACUCGGAGAAGACAGAAGGUUUGUGUCAAACUCACCAGUCCAGGGCUAUUAUGAACAAGAGACCACCUCUAGGCACUUGGCCCCUCUGUUCGACUCUCCUGGCUCCUAUAGCACAUUUCGCUCCAGUCCUAAUGAGACCGGUCCAGUGAAGGGCUCUGUCUUUAUGGUCCCCGCUAAAUAAACCGUGUGUGUGUUUCCCUAACUGGAUCUUCAAGGACUCCACAGGAACAAAGGCUGAUUUAUUUCUCCAUCUCUCGCACUCAGCAGAGGUCCUGACAUACAGCAUUCCUCCGAAAAUACCAGGAAAGGAGAGGGUGGAUGGAAAAAUCAGAAGCUAGGAGUUAGUUGGGGACUGCAAACUUACUAUUUCACUUUCUUUCUUUCCAUUCAGUGUGCAAAAACAUUGGCCCUGUCUGCAGUUACUCGGUACUUUAUAAACCAGGAUUCCUAAUGGUGGGGUGGGGUAGGGUGGGGGGAGGGUCUGGAAGCACAGAGAAGAGAGGCAUUUGGAAAAUUCUCCAGGUGAUUAUGCUAUGCCCUGCCUUUUCCCACAUAGAUAAGAACCAGCAUCCUGCCCCAAUCCAUUCCCUAAAUGUAUUGACCAACAUUCCCGGCAGAGAGAACAAGCCAAAGGCAUGGAAAUAGAGAAGCAGAGCAUGUUGGGAAAACUUCCAGUAGCCUGUGAGCCUGUCUCUUUUCCAGUUUUCACCUCUGACCUCCGAGUUACGUUCAUGAGGCUGAUUCUGCCAGAACAAGGCAGGAAAGGCUCCUGGGUGACAUCUAGGUUUUUCUACCACCUGGGAUUUCUGGAGAGUGGUUGGGUACACUUCCAUUAUAAGCCAAAUCAAGCAGGCCAGAUACACUCUCUCCCCUCACAUACUUCUAGAAAGACAGCAUUCCUGAGAGAAGCUAUUAGUUCCCUAAAUUGGAGAUGGGAGCAGGGAAACCAUAAGCGACUUGCCAAAAAUAUAGACGGCGCUGAUGCUGGAAUCAGGACUUACUCUCACAUUAUGGCCAAGCUAUGGGCUGUCUUCCCUGACCGGUCAGCGUUUUCAGCUUUCUUGGGUUAAACAUAGCCCAGAAACACGUUGC